rnacentral:lncRNA from 1 species
UACUACGGCGUCUUUAUGGCUUCUGGAAUAUUGAACGUCAGGUUAGUGAAACAACAGUGAAAGGUUUUCUAAGGCUACUCAUAAUGGGAGUAACAUAUACUAGUAUCACGCAUAUGAUACUUGUAUAUGAUACUACCUUCAUAGUGCAUAGUAUUAUAAAGUAGUAUCAUAGAUGGCCAUAUUUAUUGCCAUGCAUGACACAAAGUAGUAUAACAUUUAACAUGAUACAGUAUCUACCUAUGUUACUCUAACACUCUCUCUCACUACUAGGAAAAGGCCUGCUAGUGGCGCACCUGUUUUGGCUACUAAUGGCGCACCUGUAGUGCGCCACUAGCAUCUUUUACUAAUGGCGCGUAGAAGUGCGCCAUUAUUAACAUUUUUUUAAAUUUUUUUCAGAAUUUUUUUUUGUUUUUUUUUCUUAAUCUCGGGUCACUAUGGCUUAAUCUCAAGCCAAUAUGCUUAAUCUCAAGUCAAAGCGCACUCCAUGGUCAAACUUCUCGAAAGGUCACCCAUCCUCACACUACUCCAGCCCGAGCACGCUUAACUUCACAGUUCUAUCCAACCCCAACACCAGCUCACUUCACAGGCACUUGUUGAUAUAUUUAUCAUAUCAAUCCUAUUAAACCUUGUUGAUGUCUAUGACUUUGUUCAUGUUCAUGAGUGUGAUGAAAUUUUGAAAAAAUAUUUCAAACUUCCCGGUCAUAUUACGCAUCAUAUUUUGAAAAAAAUUCCAAUUUUUUUUUGAAACCAAUUUUUUUUUCUAUUACUAGUGGCGCACCUAGCAAAUGGUGCGCCACUAGUAAGUUUGAAUUUUUUUCAUUUUUCCCCCUCUAGAUCUUAAAAGCCCCGUAUCUUUCAUUCUGUUAGGUUUUUGGGGAUUUUGAAGAUGUUGAACAAAGUUCCCCCAGUUCAAAUCGUAUGUAACUUUUCGAGUAGAUGAUUUUUCAUAUAUAAAACUUCUUAAUCCGAGUUCGUACGCAAAAGUUAUGCCCAUUUUACAAAUUCCAGAGAGAUUUUGCAAAUAAAGUCGAAAUUCAUAUUUGUAAAUUUUCCCAACAACUAGACCACAUAUCACACGGGAAACUUAUUUUAUUUUAUUUUUUUGAUAUUUCCAUCAUUUUCUUUUAUUUUUUCUAAAACUGAAAAGGCGGUCCGGGGGGGUUAGGGAUAGUGCGCCAUUACUAGUUUUGAAAAAAAAUUGUUAGUAGUGGCGCACCGUGGAUAUGGUGCGCGAUUAGUAUUUGGACACUAAUGGCGUACCAACACAUGGUGUGCCAUUAGUAUAUAGUAGUGGCGCACCACAUGUGUGGUGCGUCAUUAGUGUCCAUAUUAUCUAUAGCCUUUUUUCUAGUAGUGUCUCUUAUUUAAUUGUGUGUCAUAUAAGCAUGUUUGCUAGUCCCAAGUGCAUGUUACCGGUUAUGUUACCCCCACUAUGGCCAGCCUAAGAUAAUACUAUAUCUCUGGAACUAAAAACUAAUUAAUAAUGUUGAAUGGCAUUACUAACUCUAUAUUUUGUUUGUCCUGCACAAAUCUAGCACUUUCUGAGGUGUUGCCCAGAGCAUGCUGUUGAACAUGGAGGGUUUGAGCUAAGAAAUACUUGCAGGCUGCCAAUGUAUUAAUGGUUAGGCAUUUUUGGAUUUGUCAUGUUUACAUGUUUACCAGGGUAACCAUAGCGGCUUCAUUGCAUCAUACCCGAAACU